rnacentral:lncRNA from 10 species
CCCCUCCAUGGGCUCCUGUGCGGCCCGAGCCUCCCCGACGAGCGCCACCCCCUGCUCCACGGCGCCCAGUCCCAUCGACCACCCAAGGGCUGAGGAGUGCGGGCACACGGCACCGGGACUGGCAGGCACGUCCGCCUGCAGCCCCGUGCGGGAUCCACUGGGUGAAGCCUGCUGGGCUCCUGAGUCUGGUGGGGACGUGGAGAACCUUUAUGUUAACCUUUAUGUUAACAUGAACCUUUAUGACACUGACCUUGCCAACUGUGUGGGACCUGGUUGAGGCCUCUUGCCACCAGCUAUCUCCAACUUUCCUGGCCAACUAUAUAAUACAGUAGAGGCAACGAAAAUCCCCUCUAGAACAUAACCUCAUUGUCCUGAGAACCACCACCAUCCACCACAAUGGCUGCAGCAAGCCCCGCCCAAGAUAUUUUCUAAAGAUGGAAAGACACAUUCUGCCAUAUAGCUACUAUUUGCUUCCACAUCUGUUAUCUGCUCGUCUCCCCUCAACUCCGUAUCUCAAGAGACUGACCUGCUUGGAUUGCGUCAAGGGCUCUGGCUUAGGACAGACCUCAGCUAACUAUGGGACUUGGCAGGAGAUCCAGCAGCAGGAGGAAAGUGAGUUCUCAGAUCUUCAGAGACAGACUGGAACUACACCACCAGCUUUCCAGGGUCUUCAGCUUGCUGGCAGAUUGAGGAACUUUUCAGCCUCCAUAGUUACGUGAG